rnacentral:rRNA from 1 species
AUACGUAGGGGGCGAGCGUUGUCCGGAAUGAUUGGGCGUAAAGGGCGCGUAGGCGGCCUGCUAAGUCUGGAGUGAAAGUCCUGCUUUCAAGGUGGGAAUUGCUUUGGAUACUGGGAGGCUGGAGUGCAGGAGAGGAAAGCGGAAUUCCUAGUGUAGCGGUGAAAUGCGUAGAUAUCGGGAGGAACAUCGGUGGCGAAGGCGGGUAACUGGACUGCAACUGACGCUGAGGCGCGAAAGUGUGGGGAGC